rnacentral:rRNA from 1 species
AGAGUUUGAUCCUGGCUCAGGACGAACGCUGGCGGCGUGCUUAACACAUGCAAGUCGAACGGAAAGGCCCUUCGGGGUACUCGAGUGGCGAACGGGUGAGUAACACGUGGGUGAUCUGCCCUGCACUCUGGGAUAAGCCUGGGAAACUGGGUCUAAUACCGGAUAGGACCGCAUGCUUCAUGGUGUGUGGUGCAAAGCUUUUGCGGUGUGGGAUGAGCCCGCGGCCUAUCAGCUUGUUGGUGGGGUAAUGGCCUACCAAGGCGACGACGGGUAGCCGGCCUGAGAGGGUGACCGGCCACACUGGGACUGAGAUACGGCCCAGACUCCUACGGGAGGCAGCAGUGGGGAAUAUUGCACAAUGGGCGCAAGCCUGAUGCAGCGACGCCGCGUGAGGGAUGACGGCCUUCGGGUUGUAAACCUCUUUCAGUAGGGACGAAGCGAAAGUGACGGUACCUACAGAAGAAGGACCGGCCAAUUACGUGCCAGCAGCCGCGGUAAUACGUAGGGUCCGAGCGUUGUCCGGAAUUACUGGGCGUAAAGAGCUCGUAGGUGGUUUGUCGCGUUGUUCGUGAAAACUCACAGCUUAACUGUGGGCGUGCGGGCGAUACGGGCAGACUAGAGUACUGCAGGGGAGACUGGAAUUCCUGGUGUAGCGGUGGAAUGCGCAGAUAUCAGGAGGAACACCGGUGGCGAAGGCGGGUCUCUGGGCAGUAACUGACGCUGAGGAGCGAAAGCGUGGGUAGCGAACAGGAUUAGAUACCCUGGUAGUCCAA